GACGAACGCUGGCGGCGUGCUUAACACAUGCAAGUCGAACGGAAAGGCCCUGCUUUUGUGGGGUGCUCGAGUGGCGAACGGGUGAGUAACACGUGAGUAACCUGCCCUUGACUUUGGGAUAACUUCAGGAAACUGGGGCUAAUACCGGAUAGGAGCUCCUGCUGCAUGGUGGGGGUUGGAAAGUUUCGGCGGUUGGGGAUGGACUCGCGGCUUAUCAGCUUGUUGGUGGGGUAGUGGCUUACCAAGGCUUUGACGGGUAGCCAGCCUGAGAGGGUGACCGGCCACAUUGGGACUGAGAUACGGCCCAGACUCCUACGGGAGGCAGCAGUGGGGAAUAUUGCACAAUGGGCGGAAGCCUGAUGCAGCAACGCCGCGUGCGGGAUGACGGCCUUCGGGUUGUAAACCGCUUUCGCCUGUGACGAAGCGUGGGUGACGGUAAUGGGUAAAGAAGCACCGGCUAACUACGUG
rnacentral:rRNA from 1 species